GGUACACCCGUUUGAGUGUCGUGAACAUCCUUCAACCUUUCUUGGUUUCUCAACCAAGGAAGGCUUUGGACUUUGGGGGGCUUUUUUGCUGGCAUCCUUUUGGAAGCUAGCUCCUCCUAAAUGGAUUAGUAGGGUCUGCUUUGCCGAACCUUGACGUGAUAAGAUGCUUCUACGUCUUGGGUUUCGCACUGUUGCUUUAGACCCUGCUUCUAACUGUCUUACAUACAGGACAGAGUUAUAAACCUUGACCUCAAAUCGGGUGAGACUACCCGCUGAACUUAAGCAUAUCAAUAAGCGGAGG
rnacentral:rRNA from 1 species